UAGGCCGGUAAGGGUGAAACGGUGGGGUAAGAGCCCACCAGCGGCCGUGGCGACACAGCCGGCUAGCCAAACCCCGUCCGGUGCAAGGCGAAGCAGGUCCCGUUGACGCGGCCCGCCGAGGGACCGGGUACGCCGCAAAGAGAGAUGGUCAUCCUCGACAGAAUCCGGCUUACAGGCCUGCUACAGAA
rnacentral:RNase_P_RNA from 1 species